AACCCAAAGCGUCGAGUUCGGUGGUUGUAGAAUUCGAAUCGACACGGACACAAGAAAGGUGGAGAGCUCGUCUCCCUCUUUGCCUGUCGGCGUCAGCAUGCGGCGACGACGAAGAAGCAGGCGACGCCAUGCCCCACCAGUCACCUCUUUGCAGUGCUGCUUGCUGCUGCUCCAGGGCUUUCACCUGGCCGUUAAGUCCCACAUCGCCAAUUCAACUGUAGAAAAGAGGCGACUUAAGCAAUUGCCCUUGCCUGCAGGUUGUCUCUUCGGAGACAUCCGAUAAAAUUGGAACGAUACAGAGAAGAUUAGCAUGGCCCCUGCGCAAGGAUGACACGCAUAAAUCGAGAAAUGGUCCAAAUUUUUUUUUCCCUUCUCUCUCGCGCGUCUGAUACUACUGGGUAAACUUUUGUUUUUAAUCCAUUAUUUAGCUUUCGGAAGAUCGCUGGCUAUUCUCCGGUUUUCACGGAGGCCUAAUUUCUAAUGCGAACUUUCAAAUACCUGCUUUGAAUCCUCCUGUAUACUGAAAAAUCCAACAUGCGUAGAGGAAAAAUCAGACAUGUACUUAUCUUAACACUUCUGAUGGAUUUUGAUUCAUAUUUGACAAAUCAGAAUAUAACAAUUUUUCUUUUUGUUUGAGAAAAAUCAUUUUGAUAUGAUUUGUCUUACAUCCUUCAUCUUCUCAUGGGAGCAUGAAUAUAGUGAGUGAAGAGGUGUGAAAAUACAUUUUGUUUCAAAUACCAAGCAUGAUAUAAACAAAAUUAACUCUUAUGAUAAUGUAAUAGUUAAAAUAUAGGUUCUUAUGUACUAGAGACAAUUUUAUAAUCUAUAAGAACUCGUACCGAUGUUGGCCCCCAACUUCGUGAUUUAGCUUUUUGAUGAUUGUUGUCUCCUCUUUGGUUUUCUUGUAGGUGUAAUAAGCUUCAAAAAUUUUACUUUGGAUCUUACUGUAGUCAGAACUCAAUUUCUUUCUCCAUCCAUUGUUGUUUUAAUUUUUUUUUCUUGCUUGCCUAUCCUUAUUUGCAUUCUUCAUAGGUGUUAAGUUUAAACUUCUACCUUCCUCCAUUUUCUAUGCUAGCAAACUGACCUUUGGUUUUUCUAUACCUCAAACCUUGCGUUAAUUUGCUACUCAGUCUUCGUAUUUGAUUUUUUUUGAAGACAUGAGUUCUAACUUAGAAGUUAGAACGUCAAGCUUUGUUAUUCUUCCUGAAGCCAAUAGCUACUUUCAUGUUCCAUUGUUUUAUACUGAAUAAUGAAAAAUGGAUGUGUCAAAAAGGAACAAAGCUAUCAACUAUUACAUCAAACUUUAGUUCUGUUGUUUGCCCCAUUUGCUCUAUAGUUUCAUGAUGGAUAACGGUUGAGUACUGGAAAAUCAGACUUGUGUUGAGAAAAAAUUAGAGUUCUCAUAACACUUCAGUUGAUGUUUGAUUCAUGUUUGACAAUUACUAGGCUAUAACAACUUUAUAGGGAAAAGCAUUUCUAUGUGAUUUCUGUUUUACUUGCAUGGUCCAUCCUCCCAUGACAGUAGAAAUAUAGCGAAGAAUACAAAAUUGGAUUGUGUUGCAGUCACCCAGAAUGUUGAUAAAUGAGUAUCAUCAGCUAAAUUGGUUGUCUGCCAGUUUAGUUGCAUGAUUUAUGUAAUUGUUAAUAAUAUUCAUUUUUCUGCUGGUCUAUUUUCUUAAGGCUAUUAUGCAAGUUCUUUCAUCUAAAACUAACCUGGGUGAUCUGUGGAAUCUUCUCAUUUUCCAAGGUGUGCUUAAUGGCUGACCUCACAACAAUGGCAAAUUUUGAAGCUGAUGUUAACCUUCUACAUUUUAAUCUAAAUUUCUUGGCCUGUAGACAAAAUUUAGGGCUUCCAAAUAGUGAGAAAUAUCUCAGGCAAUGAAUUGUAAGGUCAAUUUUUUGUUGAUUGGAAACAUCCUUGGGCAUUCUUGAUAAGUGCGUAUGCUCUGUUUUGUUUUGUUUUAGUGGCUUAUAUUUAUGUACAGAUGCAGAAGGGGAGCCCGACCUAGAGAUCACAGGUUCAAAUCUCGGAAACAACCUUUUGCAAAGUAAGGUUGCAUACAAUAGAUUCUUCCCCGGUUGGCGAGAGCUUCAUGCACCGGACUGCUCUUUAUAUUUAUGUACAGAUACCAACUUUAAUAGAACCAUCAAAUCAACGUUAAAGAAGACUUACAACAGUUGAUGGAUCAGAUUUGAGUCAAGAAGUUUUACAGUUUUUAGAAGUGGGCAUGACACUACAGUUGCAAGAUCUCAAAUGAAAAUCAUGUCGUAAAAUAUCACCAAUCCACUGUAUACCGGCACAAUUAAAUAACUAAUAUGACUGAGGAUGCAGAAAGAACAAUUAUAUACAGUAGAACUUUCCAAAAUUCUCCACUUGCUCCGCAAUACUUUCUGCCUCCUCUGUCAACCCCGAGCAGAUGAUCUACUUCUUGCAGACAAGAAUUUGCAAGGGCAUAGCACUCCAGUAUAGGCAUUGUAAUGAGAAAAGAAGUCUCCGGUGUUAUUGUCCUCAUGCAGAUGCAUUUCUACACCAAAUCAGUGAAGCUUUUCCCAGUGGCUUGGAUAUAUUAAAUAACUUAAAUGGCUUUCCAUGCAUCAAGGGGAAUUCUGUAUCUGAUUUCAAUGCUCAAUAGCAAUUAACUUAUCCGUCAAAAUAGAAUUGUGUUUCAGUAUAGCUCUAACAAAGGCCUUUUUAAGGUGUAUCCUGUGUUAUCUUUGAUAAUGUUGCAGCAUCGAUCAUAAGUAUCAGUUAAUGAGGCUCUGUUAAGAGCAUAUGGGGACUUUGCUUGUGGGCAAAGAAUCCAUCUG